rnacentral:misc_RNA from 1 species
AUCUGUUCGUCUCUGGGUAUCCUGAUUGUCGCGAGCACUCUCUAUUCUCGAUUCUCAAUUCGCGGUAAGUAUCAAGAACGAUUAUCCCAUGGAAGAUCGCAGCACGACAUUUCUGGGCAAUCGCGGAUAUUGGAGGGUUGGGAGCAACAGAGUAGCGCGGCUCGCAGCUAGCAGCGCGGCCCUUUGCGCGUACACGCGUGGACCGAGCACAUCGGCUGGUUCAGCAGCCACCGAUCGAUGAUACGUUCAUCAGGAUUCACCUUGGGCGCAUAUUCGAAUCUCACUGAAACUCUGUCGCUCAGCGCGCAGAUAAAAUCAAGCAAUGACGAAUAUACACGUCGAAUGCGGAACAAAUAUUCUUAUUAUAAAUUUUACGAAAAAAAUGGCACAUCUUCGAAGUGGAUUUGCUUUUGAUGGUGUAGCUGAUAUAAAGUUAUAUAAGCUGAUAUAGAACACAAAACAAUUCGAGGAAUAGCUGAUAUACACAACAAAGUACACAAAACAAUUCGGGGAAUAGUCGAUAUAUGCACUUAUGGGAAUAAUCAUGUAAUCAAAUUUUUU